UGUUUAAAUCAAUUCGUACCCAAUUUUUAAAAUAUCUUCUCUUUCUCACCAUCCAAAUGGUGACAUGUGUCCCUCCAACCCCUAUCCACCAAUCCUUAUCUCUCCCUCUCUCAUUCUUCACGUUCACUCUCCCUCACUCUUUUCUUCUUUUUUUUGUUUCUCAACUUGCUGCAGCUCAUCGUCACCAUUUCUUCUUCAUUCACGUGCAUCCACCGCCCAUGUUUCUCACCACACCGCCACCUUCCUCUUCUUCUCAUAAUUUUUGGUACAAUAAUAUAUCAUCUCUCUAUUUUUCUCCUAACUCUAGAAGCUAAAUCCUUCUGUGUUUAAAUCAAUUCGUACCCAAUUUUUAAAAUAUCUUCUCUUUCUCACAAUCCAAAUGGUGACAUGUGUCCCUCCAACCCCUAUCCGCCAAUCCUUAUCUCUCCCUCUCUCAUUCUUCACGUUCACUCUCCCUCACUAUUUUCUUCUUUUUUUUUUGUUUCUCAACUUGCUGCAGCUCAUCCUCACCAUUUCUUCUUCAUUCACGUGCAUCCACCGCCCAUGUUUCUCACCCCACCGCCACCUUCCUCUUCUACUCUCCUUCCGUGGACAAGCAUCACCUCCAUGGCCACCUCUCUUGGGUCAACCGUUCCUCUUUCUCCCUCUGUCCAGCGAACAAGCCACCACCGCCCCACUCUUCUCCUUAAGCAAAACGCACCAACCAUGGACAGCCACCACCUCCUCUUCGAGCUUCUCCUUUUCCAUGGACGACCAACACCAAGAGCGUCACAAGCACCUCGACAAGCUUCUUUCCAUGGCUGGAACCACCAGCCACCAACAAGAAGAGACGACGCGAAGAUACGAGGAAGAGACAACGUGAAAAUAGAGGAGUACGACGUUGAUGAUGUCGCCGUCGUCGCCUUUCAUUUAGGGUGUCAUCGUGCCUGCGUUCACAGCGAGGUUAGUACCAUUGGAACCCUUGCGACGUCAACAACAAAACCCAUGUUCCGAAUCGACGUUCUGUUGCCGCCGCCGCUUUCAAAGGUGUUUUCCGGUCAACUCUGGCGACCAUUGGAAAAAGAGAGUACACCACGACGAUCCUUGCCGCGAGGAGAGCAGUAUCCCUCAAUCAAUUUCAGUUUUUGGUAACUUUUGUUGGCGAGCUCUGCCGACCUACAAUUGGACUUUCUGGGCAAACUUUCGACUUUUUAGAGAAACGGAUAGCGCCAUUGAGUUCCUGGCCGCGAAAGAUGAAAUACCAAUACCCCUUUUGUGUCUCCGGCGACAGUUCCUCAGUCAACCACGUGGACCACGACUUUAUCCGGCGACCCUUCGCCGACAAGCUUUCAUCACUUGAGUCUUCUUUAGUCCUUGAGUAAGCGAGUUAACUUAGUUAGUGAUUGCGUUAAGUGUACUUGUGAAGGGUAUGAAGAACGUAAGCACCUUGCGUUCAAGCUACACAAUGGAGGAAGCAAGCUAACACGGGAAAUAAAGAUGUGAUUGGAUCGAAGUUGCAGCUUAGAAACAAAAGCGCUUAAGGCGAUGAAGAACCUUCGAUGUAGAUUAUCCUGUACAAGUCAGAGAUGAGGACUUGAAGAACAACGGAAGACUCGAAGGGUAGAGUUGGGUGUAUGGCUAUAGCCUUGGGAUAGAGACCUUACCAUUAUUGGUUAAAGCUUGUAUAAAGAUUUUGUGAAUUUAUAUUUGAGGUUUCGGGUA